CUUGGCUCAGAAACUGGCCAGUGUCUAGGGUCAGUUAGUUACUAAGGGGGAAGGAUGAGAGGGCAGUGGCCUAGACAAACAAGCCCUAACCGGCCAGAUACCAGCUGAGCUGGGCCUUCACUAGUCACACUCCUUGACUCUUAAGGGAACCAACAGAAAGAAGCCCAAUACAUGACCUGGAGAUCAUGGUGACAGAGGCCGAGGCUUGGGCAGAAGCCAGGAAUGAGAAUGGCGAGUUCCUAAUUCAGGAACGCUACCCUCGGUCGUUUGGCACUGUUUCUGAAGGUUGCAGCAUCUUGCAAGCUCAGGAAAUAUACCAACGUCCAGCCUCUAGAGACAAGAAGGUGGCAUCCUUAGUGACUUCAAAAUGACAGUCCAUCGAGGCAAGAAUUCAGUGGAAAGAUUGGUUGCUGACUGGACACAAAGCUACUAUAUGUAAGGUCCUGAGUUCAAUCCCCAGCACUGAAAAGUGAGUUCCAAGCCACCCUGAACUACAGUUUGAGACCUGUGUCAAAUUCCUUCCUCCUAAUUUCUGGGGAACUAUUAAUGAAAUUGAUGACCGUCAUGGAGAGUUCAGUCAGACUGUGAGCCAGCGCUUUUUCAUUUAAGAUGUCCAGACUUUUGAAGAAAAAAAGAAGAAGAAAUAGCACCCUCAGACGAACUUGGGUUUCAGAUUAUUAUAUGCAUAUCAGAAAUAUAAGAAGCAUGCUUAUACUAACAAUUGUUAGUUGUUGACCUGAAAUUAACUUCAAUAAAAAAUUGUUAUUAUUUAUUUA